rnacentral:misc_RNA from 1 species
UUUCCGUAGGUGAACCUGCGGAAGGAUCAUUAAUGAAACCGGACCGUUCCUUUGCCGUAAAACGCACCGGAUUGGAAAGGGAGAUAUCAUACACCCUAUGUUUAUUUACUUUUGUUGCUUUGGUGGGCCGUCCUUUACGGCGUCGGCCUCGGCUGAUCGCGCCCGCCAGAGGACCCAAACUCUUUUAUUAGUGAUGUCUGAGUACUAUAUAAUAGUUAAAACUCUCAACAACGGAUCUCUUGGUUCUG